CAUUUAUGUGUUAGGCAGUAGUCGUAACAAGUUUACACAAUAACCAAUUGACGUUUAAAUUAAGUCAAGUAUUUAAAAAUUCAUGCUUUUUCUGAGCAACGUUCAGUACUAAGUUUCCAUGGUUUGAAAGUUCGAGUGUUUGACAUUUUUACUAUGGAAAAUAGAAUGAAGACAAAUCAAAAACGUGGACUAAACUAUAUCGUCGUUGCUGCUUAGACCGAAAACUGCACGUACUCCAUCAGUGUGAUGAAAAUGACAUUCUGUGCUUCUGGGAUGUUCAUUCUCUCCUAUUCGUCAUUGUUGUGUCAAUUUAAGAACAGUUCAGCAAUUUCUUCAUUUACUUACAAAACUCAGCUGUUUUCAGAAUCAGAUUCAGGUAAUACGAGUAAAUCUGUUUUUGUUAGUAUAUCUUCCCAUGCAUUUCUGUUGUUGUACCGAUCUGUUGUUAGAGCAAUAAAAGCAAAAAAAUUUA